CGAGCGUUGUUCGGAAUUACUGGGCGUAAAGAGUGUGUAGGCGGUGCUCUAAGUUCGGUGUGAAAUCUCCCGGCUUAACUGGGAGGGUGCGCCGGAAACUGGAGUGCUCGAGCGUGGGAGAGGAAAGCGGAAUUCCUGGUGUAGCGGUGAAAUGCGUAGAUAUCAGGAGGAACACCUGCGGUGUAGACGGCUUUCUGGACCAUUGCUGACGCUGAGACACGAAAGCGUGGGUAGCAAACAGG
rnacentral:rRNA from 1 species